CACCGUUUCGUGUGAUAUCGGCAGCGGGUAUAUGUCACGGCGGCCAAUGGUGUAAGUCUGGAGAUCCUUUACAGCCUCGAAGCAGACAAAGAACGGGCACGGACUACCACAGAAAACCUUCUCACCCAGGAAAACAAGGCAUAGAGCAUAGGAAAUGUGUGGGAGGCAGGGACUGGAGUUUGGGGGUGACUGACGCGGCUUUCCCUCCCUCAAUUCUGUUUCUGCCGCAGUGAACAAGCACUAAUGUAUCCUUGCACGCCAUGGAAAGCCUAGUUGCCAUGUUGCGUUUGACCACCCCAAGUGUGGUAUCGGCGGUACCCGCAAGCCGAGGAACCAGGACAAAAAAACACAAUUACGGCUGUGAAGAAGCAUCGGUGCCAAGGACAUUGGCAUCUUUCACACAACGGAGACUUCUCAGGGGACUCCUUUUCCUGCGGCUCCGUAAGCUCGUUUGGUAUUCACGAUUUUGGACAAUUAACAACACCGAAAGAAACGCCUUGUCAACAACAAACAAAAGCAUCUGGCCUGCUUAGAGGAAGGAAUGGCACAGGCAACGCAGACCUCUCCAUACGCCAUAGAAUGUGGCCGCUGCUAGGCUCUCGAAUAGACAGGGAUGCCAGCAGCCUGGACUGGAGGAGAAAGGUUGGAAGAUGCAGUCACCCAAUACUGAACACAGAACCUGGUAUACGGGACCUCCUAUGCUCAGUUACUGGAUCUGCUUCAUGCCCCAGGAUACAUCACACUUCAAACCCUGGAGGGGCACUUCUAUGACUGUGCAUUCGCAUACAAACACACAAACAAUUCCAGAGCAGGUACGUGGCAGGAGAGACAGCUUCCCAGAAGCAGCAGGAUCAGGAGGCUGAGAGAGAUUUAUCUGCAUUUGCUGCUAUCACCAGGGAGAUGAAUGGGGCCGAACCAAACCCUUUCUCCCAUAUCAGCCUAUGUGGAGAGAAGGAUCGUCACAGAGGAGCACAAACUUGAAGCUAGGCACAUAAGGAGUAUAUCACUUUGCAAAGAGGGCUGCACCUCAUGGGCGCGAGUAGUGGGCAUAGCUCAGGCGUGUGCCCCGGGAUGUGUUCUGCUGUGCUGGAGGAGUACUCACAUGCUUGGUGCGAUGUUGCGUCCUGUUGGCUCUGUGGGCACCGGGUGUAGGGCCACGUUCUGGUGCUGGAAACAAAAACAAAAAAGGGAACACGGUGAGAUUAGAGUCACGACAACACAGUGUGGAUUUUACAAAACUACGCAGAAGGGGUUUGUGCUGCUGCCCGUCGUAUAGGGUACUGGCAACCUGGCUUGGAAUAUAAACCCGCGCAGGAUUUACAGCUGCGAUGAUGCCUCCUGAUUAAACAUAUGCCAAUCGCUGGGGAUUUUUUUUUGGUAUAUUGUUAAUAAAUCUGCACCGGCUUUAAUGAGGAAUAAUUGUUUAGCUAACGAGCUUUGGCACACUAUGAAAUAAUGAAGUGCCCCAUCCCCACACUGUCUGGAUUACAAAGACAAGCACUGAGGAUUCUGCGUGUGGUUGGGGGAGCAGGCCCCCACCUCCAAAGGAGAUAUGUAAGGAUGGGCAAUGGGUCUGGAAUCAAACUCCUCUGCCAAGCGGUGUACACAGCCCCCACCAAGAGCGCAGGGGCAGCAGAGGGUUAUUAAACUCACACAGCCUGAAGUCGGCAGCUAAUGUCUCCGGUGGUUAAUCAUCCUACAGUGCUAUGGCUUUGUGGAUAUCUCAUUUGCAUCUCAUUAGAGCUGCCGGUGCUGUAGCUCAUUCGGAGAGGAGUAAAGUUGGGAGAAAUGUGGAUAUCUGCUAAUCAGAGGGUGCCUUCCAAUACGCGCAUCCCUUUGCCUAAUGGGGCCAAUUCCUGAAAGAGGAGUCGAGCGCUAGCCUCGCAUUCCUGAAGAUGAGUUUGGCCAUGGCUUCGCACGGCGUUAGAGGUCUAGGAUCCUGUCUCCAGCCAGACACGAGCAGAUGGCUGGGCGUUUGGUUAGAGAAGACUGGUGUCACGGCCAAGCACUGGCAUAUCCACAGUGGGUAAAUGUGGAAGUGACUAACAAUCUCACGGCUAUGUAAAGAGAAGUAUUCUCACUCACACUCAUUAAAACCGAUUUACACUACAUAGUGCAGUUGGAUCAAAGGAAGCUCAGUUAUUAUUAUGUGUCCUGUAACCAAAUGAAGUAUAUCAGAUGGCAAACAUCAGUCUGGGUGGUUCUUGUUGAUGACGCAAGGUACGUUGAAGCAUGGUUGACGCAUCUUCAAAAUCAACAUCGCGGCAGAAAAGCAUGACGAAGCUCGCUGUGACAUCAUAUGCAGAAGUGGAGAGACUUGAUUUAAUUCCAAGGCCAGAAUUGGAGCUGAGAAAAUAGGACUGAAGCAUAAUUUAAAAGGUACAGAAACCAUGACCUACUCUGCCCCAAUAAAAAAAUGUUGGUGUUGUUUAUUGUAAUAAACAUGUAUAAAUCA